rnacentral:rRNA from 1 species
GGGGAAUAUUGCGCAAUGGGGGAAACCCUGACGCAGCAACGCCGCGUGAAGGAAGAAGGCCUUCGGGUUGUAAACUUCUUUGAUCGGGGACGAAUCUGACGGUACCCGAGGAACAAGCCACGGCUAACUACGUGCCAGCAGCCGCGGUAAUACGUAGGUGGCGAGCGUUGUCCGGAAUUACUGGGCGUAAAGGGCGCGUAGGCGGGGGAUCAAGUCAGGUGUGAAAUACCGCGGCUUAACUGCGGGGCUGCACCUGAAACUGGUUUUCUUGAGUGUCGGAGAGGAAAGUGGAAUUCCCAGUGUAGCGGUGAAAUGCGUAGAGAUUGGGAGGAACACCAGUGGCGAAGGCGGCUUUCUGGACGAUAACUGACGCUGAGGCGCGAAAGCGUGGGGAGCAAAC